AGGACACCACUGAGCUUCCAUCUGCUGCCAGCCCUAUGUCUCUCAUGCCCACAGUGAUUUUCACCUGCUCUUCUCUCAUGCUUGGAGUUCCCUGAGUUGAGGAGGAUUUGGUGGGAUGUGACAAGUGGAAAACUGGAGCCAAGCCACAGAAAUAGAAAGUCAGAGUGACUGAACUGGCAGGACACGAACGAUGGGAAGAGAUCUUGGCUGGCCUGCUCCGUCCCAUGGACUGAAUGCAGGAACACCACCUUCCUUUGUGCAGUGCUCUGGGAGGCCAAGGUGAAAAAGGCUCUAAUGGAAUUCCUGCAGGGACAGUUUUCACUGGCUCAGUGGGAGCUGUUUGCACACAGACGCCACGGAGUAAGCUGCUAGGUGUUUAUUAACUCAGCUUGCAAGAGGAGGGGAAGGGCAGAGGAAAACCGCUGAGGGGAAAAUGCCGGUUAAAAAGACAGACCACCACCCCCUGCUGUCCACCGGAGCUGAGGGAGCUGCGGCUGAGCGAGGUCCUUGUAACCUGUCUGGUCCAGCACCUGAGCACAGCUGGGACAGUUCAUAAUGCCAACGCUCUGCAAGAGCAUAAAGGGGCAGAGGGACAUCUAGUGGGAUCUCUACUCUCUCUGCAUUUGCAGGCCACCAGAAAUCUUCGCACAGGGUUCACCUCACCUGUGACACAUCUUCAGAGCAGCACCCAGAUCCUUCGCUUCAUGAGGAUGCUGGGGCUGGACUGUAAUUCCAGUGGAUCUUGUGUUUACACUUUCUGAAGAUUCACAGCCUGCUGUAAUUAAAGGAAAAGCUGUUUCGAACAGAGCAGAUCUCACAGAAGAGUGGAUCCACCGAGGAAGAUCUUCCUGCUACAGAAUGUUUAGACAUUUCACUGGAAAGCAGAAAUGCUUCUGACAAAAGGAUAGAUGCUGUGCCAUGGGUUAACCCAAUGCUACACACAAGGAAUUCUGCUGGAGAGCCCUGGAGGAAAUUACUGCUGGCCUGUCUGGCAAGACAACUCAUCCUUGAAGAUUUGUAGAAGCACCCCAAGAUCCUCAUUUACAACAUGACAUAUGGUUCCCAUCCAACUAGAAUCAUAGAAACAUAGAAUAUCCUGAGUUGGAAAGGACUCACAAGGAUCAUCAAGUCCAGCUCCAGGAGAAUAAGAAUAGCAACAUGUCAGUAUUUUAUGAAGGAGCACCUUGAGUUCCCUGUCCUGGAAGAGGAUCACAAAAGGCAGAGCUGUUUAACAGGGAAGUGGAUUUCAGUGCUUACUUGGCUACACUGUGAGCCCAAGGAGACUGGACAGAAAGGGUGGGAAGGGCUGAAGGUCCUUCUCACCACCUCCUUCCUGCAUGGAAUAUCUAGCAUACACCUGAAUAGUAGGGUCUGAGCCAUAAAUUCAGAAAGUGACAGAAUAACUGAGGUUCACAGACGUCUGUGAAGUCCAAAUCCCCACUUAGAGAUGAGCUAAUUUCUGUCUCAAAAAUUUUUUUCAGAGUCUUCUCUAGCCAAGUUCUGAAUAUCCCAAUAUUGAUAUGUAUUGAUAUGUCUAUUUCAAACUGACAGAGAGUAGGUUUAGAUUGGAUAUUAGGAAGAAAUUCUUCCCUGUGAGGGUGGGGAGGC